AAUAUUGGACAAUGGUCGAAAGCCUGAUCCAGCCAUGCCUCGUGGGUGCAGAAGGUCUUCGGAUUGUAAAGCACGUUACUUUGGGAGGAAGGGCAGUAAGUUAAUCCCUUGCUGUUUUGACGUUACCGACAGAAUAAGCACCGGCUAACUACGGUCCUGCAGCCGCGGUAAUACGAAGGGUGCAAGCGUUAAUCGGAAUUACUGGGCGUAAAGCGCGCGUAGGUGGUUUGUUAAGUUGGAAGUGAAAGCCCCGGGCUCAACCUGGGAACUGCUUUAAAAACUGACGAGCUAGAGUACGGUAGAGGGUAGUGGUAUAUCCUGUGUAGCGGUGAAAUGCGUAGAUAUAGGAAGGAACAUCAGUGGCGAAGGCGACUACCUGGACUGAUACUGACACUGAGGUGCGAAAGCGUGUGGAGCAAACAGG
rnacentral:rRNA from 1 species